rnacentral:rRNA from 1 species
CCUACGGGGGGCUGCAGUGGGGAAUAUUGGACAAUGGGGGCAACCCUGAUCCAGCCAUGCCGCGUGAGUGAUGAAGGCCUUCGGGUUGUAAAGCUCUUUCGGCAGGGAAGAUAAUGACGGUACCUGAAGAAGAAGCCCCGGCUAACUUCGUGCCAGCAGCCGCGGUAAUACGAAGGGGGCUAGCGUUGUUCGGAAUUACUGGGCGUAAAGCGCACGUAGGCGGAUUUAUAAGUCAGGGGUGAAAUCCCGGGGCUCAACCUUGGAACUGCCUUUGAUACUGUAAGUCUCGAGUCCGGAAGAGGUGAGUGGAAUUCCUAGUGUAGAGGUGAAAUUCGUAGAUAUUAGGAAGAACACCAGUGGCGAAGGCGGCUCACUGGUCCGGUACUGACGCUGAGGUGCGAAAGCGUGGGGAGCAAACAGGAUUAGAUACCCUAGUAGUC